GGAAGAUUUAUUUUAUAAUCUUUUAAUUUUGCUUUCUAGGUUGCAGAUAGGGAUAUUGUGCAGUUUGUUGAACUCAGGCGAUUUGUUGAAACAAAUGGUACCUGGAGUAAGGAGAGGUUGACCGCGGCAGUUCUAGCAGAAAUACCAGAUCAGGUAUUGAGUUACAUGAGGUAUAAUGGGUUUAAGCCUAGGCCUCGUCAGUUCUAAAUACUACUGGAGUGAGAGACCUGUUCUUCCAUCUUAGCUUUCAGAUAACAUUUAAAGUGAUUUUUCAAAUGGACCGUCGACCCACACAAUCAUUCUGAAAAAGAUACCCCCCCGAGACUAUCCAUCUAUUUUAAUCUAACCUAGACUAAAAA